UGAAAUGAAUCUGUGAUUUAUGUAGUUCAAUCUAGACCAUCACUGGACAGAACUCUCCUGGGUUUCAGGACACAGAUUUUGGCUAGCUUCAUCUAUUUUUGGUCACAGUUCUGGUUGUAACUCUCACUUUGUUUCCCCCUUUUUUUAUUCACAACUUCAUUUCAAAAUUUCCAGAAACUGACACAUUUUCAUGUUCUAAAGCAGUGGCUUCCUAGUAGUCGAUGGGACAGUCUCUAGAGCUUCUCAUCCUACUGACAUGGACUAUCUUUAUUUGCUUGAGGGAAUCUCAGCCUAAAGCAAUGUGCACAGAUUCUUUCUAGAAUAUUUCCAUUUGGUUGUAGCACCAUGACACAAUCCUCAAGCAGUGCAGAUGUAAGUUUGGACUUCUGAAAGUCUGACUUCAUUCCCAUUGUUAAUGGAUACAAAUUCUACUACCAACGUCAUCAGAAGUCAGAUAGGACUCACAGCAGCUGGGUCUCAAGUCAGAGGAAACAAUGUCCUUUGCACAGUGUUAGUGCCUCUGCCUUUCAGACAGGUCUUCCUCAGGAGGAGACAAAAGUGAGUCUGUCAUUUUACCAAGUGCAGGUAUAUCUUCCUUAAAUUUCUCUGGUAGCUCAAAAGAAAGAUAGGUAAUCACAUUCUGUUUGCAAAAUGGCAAAGGUUUUGCUGAAAAAAACUUACGGCAUUUCACACUGGAGACAGGUAUAUCCCUUUGAUGAACAAAGAAAACCUAUGUGGAGUUUAAAUAUCACCUUAAUCUACCUCUGAUCCUUCUGGUUGACAGAUACUGUGUACCCAUAGAUGACAGUUUUUUUAUGUAACUGGAAACACACAGUUAGAUGACACAAUGAAAACAGUAAAGGUAAGCUGGGUUUGUAGAUUUUGACAUGUUCCAGGUUUGCAAUAAUAAAAGAAAAAUUACUUUUUUUAUUUCAAAGGGAAAUUCAGAACAGUCAGAACUUUUGGCUACAGCUAGUUGAACUGCUUCUUAAAACCACUACAGACCAGGAGACAGAAGGAUGAGCAAGCAUAUGAAAAAUAAGGUUAAACACAGAACUCAUUCUUCUCAUGCCCCAGUGAUCAGGAGCUGCAUAAGGAACUGUAGCAUUAAUACCAGAAGAACAGGUAUUUUAAAAUCUACUCAUGAUGAUGAAGUAGGUAAUUGUGAAAUUCCUUGAGAAUGUCUGUGUUUAAUCCCAGCCAGCAACUAUGUCCCAUGCAGCUGCUUACUACAGAAGGGACUGGGAGAAGAAAUGGAAAAAGGUAAACAUGAGUUGAGAUACAAACACUUUGAAAUAAAGUAAAUAACAAAACCAGUAACAACAACUACGAUGAAGAUGAUGAAAAGAGAGAGGUAACAAAAAGGGGAAUAAAACACAAGGAAGAUAAGGGAUGCACAACACAACUGCUCCCAACUCAAUCCAUCCCUCAGAGUGAUCAGCUCCUCCCUGCCAACUCUCCCAGUUCAUGUUCUGCUAUGGUAUGGAAUAUCCCUUUGGCCAGUUAGGCCACCUGCCCUGCCCCUGCUCGUGCACCUGCUCACUGGCAGAGCAUGGGAAAAUAAAAAGUCCUUGACUUGGGACAAGUUCUGUUCAGUAACUAAACCACUAGUAUAUUAUCAACAUUAUGCUCAUACUAAA